rnacentral:tRNA from 1 species
UGGGGAGUGGCCAAGCGGCAAGGCGUGGGACUUUGGAUCCCAUAUUCGAAGGUUCGAAUCCUUCCUCCCCAG